AGAGUUUGAUCCUGGCUCAGAACGAACGUUAGCGGCGCGCCUAACACAUGCAAGUCGUGCGAGAAAGGGCUUCGGCCCCGGUAAAGCGGCGCACGGGUGAGUAACACGUAGGUAAUUUGCCCCCAGGUGGUGGAUAACCUUCCGAAAGGAGGGCUAAUACAGCAUAAGACCACGGUCCCGAAAGGGAUUGAGGUCAAAGCCGGCCUCUUCAUGAAAGCUGGCGCCAGGGGAUGAGCCUGCGGCCCAUCAGCUAGUUGGUAGGGUAACGGCCUACCAAGGCGAAGACGGGUAGCUGGUCUGAGAGGAUGAUCAGCCACACUGGAACUGAGACACGGUCCAGACUCCUACGGGAGGCAGCAGUGGGGAAUCUUGCGCAAUGGGCGAAAGCCUGACGCAGCGACGCCGCGUGAGUGAUGAAGGCCCUCGGGUUGUAAAGCUCUGUGGAGGGGGACGAAUAAGGGUUGGCUAAUAUCCAGCUCGAUGACGGUACCCCUUUAGCAAGCACCGGCUAACUCUGUGCCAGCAGCCGCGGUAAGACAGAGGGUGCAAACGUUGUUCGGAAUUACUGGGCGUAAAGCGCGUGUAGGCGGCUCGGAAAGUCGGGUGUGAAAGCCCUGGGCUCAACCCAGGAAGUGCACUC
rnacentral:rRNA from 1 species